AAUCGGGACUAGGGUUUCAUUUUAUUUUCUUAAAGUACUCUUUCUCUGUCAAUUAAAAAAAAAUGUCUCAAAUACGCCGUCUUCCUUCAAGCGAUUAUUCUUAGCUAACUAGGGUUUCGUAUAAAGGAGCUAUCUACAAAUUCAAAUCAAAAACCAAACAACAUAAUUCAAGUUAUAUCAGAUUUAGAAGCUGAGAUCUGGACUGAAUCGGUCAGUUACAGUAAGCUUCAACGGUGGCGGAGACCUCCUCCUCCUCUUCGAAGUGGACUUUCUCAGUGACUUGAGCAGGGUGAGUGAGAAGGAAGAGCUUAUGAGCUAGGAUGAGGUGCGGUUGCUGACUUUCCUCUCGACCUUCCAUUAACAAGUUAUCGAGUGACUCAACGAGUUAGAUUUCAGAAAAAGCUUUACCUGCUUGUGUUUUCUUUUCCCGACUCUCUGUCUUUGAUUUUUUUAACCUAAUUUUUUUUUGGAUUCUUGAGAUCUAUAGUGAAAAGCUCAUAAUAAAUCUUUUGAUGCUUCUAUUACAGCAGACGGUACAAUGGAGGUGUUGUUGCUUCCGCCUCCAAGGUUAAUUAUGCUAAUUAGAACUCUGAUCCUUGGACGUAAGCUUCAGAGAAGCAUUGAGAGUUGCAAUCUCUGUCAUAAUGGCUGCCUCAAAGGACAAGCAACCAAGUUCACUGAGACGAUGGAGCUUCAGAUUGGGCUUAAGAAUUAUGAUCCCCAACAAGACAAACAUUUUAGAGGUUUUGUCAAGUUGCCACACAUCCCAGAAGAUGAUCUGUAUGCUUGGAGAUGCCCGGCAUGUUGAGGAGAUACGCAUUUGCGGCAUUUCAUUACUCGAUGCUAUCGCCUGAUCUUGUAGAUCACGCUCUUAAUCCCAUCAGGACUAAGAACUUUUGGUUUGUGUUCAGAGAUUCUAAGCCACGUCACACAGGCAAUAGUCGAUGACAAUUGUUGUGGAAUUGAGAAAUUGAGAAAGAGUCUUGCUUCGUCAGAAGAGAGUGUAAAAUUAGAGAAAUUGAGAUUGAAUAGGCUGUAGCAGGAUGAAAAGAGGCCAAAGUAGGUGUUUUAUAUACUAAUUAGUAAGAACAAUCAUUCAGAUUGUAAUUGUUUUUAUCAUUAUUGUAAAUUUAUUAUUUUUGGUGCUUUAGCUCAAAGCAUUAUGAAUCGAAUUAGCCUUUUUUCUAA